AUGGAACACGCGCUGCUCGCCGCGCUCUUGGUGUGCGCGCUCGCGUCGGCCGGCAGCGCGCAGCCGGCGGAGCCGGGGCAGGGGGGCUACGACAACGAUGUGGCCGACCAGGAUAUGCGCAUCAGCACGACCAUGAUCGUGCUCCUGGCCGCCGUCGUCGCGGUGUUCUUCUUCAUCCUCGCUUCCAUCAUCUACCUCCGCCACUGCACCGGCUACUCGUACCCCCGCGCCCCGCGGCCGGACGACUCCCGUGGCUCCGGCCCCGGCGCCGGCUUCUCGAGCUUCAUCGCCAGGCGGCAGCAGCGGCGGGCGGCGACGCGCGGGCUCGCCGCCGAGGUGGUCGAGGCGUUCCCCACCAUGCGGUACGCGGAGGCCAAGGCACUGCGCGUGGGGAAGAAGGCGGCGCCCCCGCUCGAGUGCGCGGUGUGCCUCAGCGAGUUCGAGGACGAGGACAGGCUCCGGCUGCUGCCCAAGUGCAGCCACGCCUUCCACCCGGAAUGCAUCGGCGUGUGGCUCGCCAGCCACGUGACCUGCCCGGUCUGCCGCCGCAACCUGGACCCUAGCAAGGACGGCGGCAGCGACGACGAGGCGAGUACCCCCCCGGCGCCGGAAGCCAACAGCACCUCCAGCGAAAUAGCCGUGGUGCGGCACCACCAGGCAGAGGGCUCGCGGCCACCGGCCGUGGUCAUCGACGUGGUGACAGAGGAGGAGGCCGAGCAGCGCCGGAAGGAGGCGAUUGAGCUGCAGCGGAUAGGGACCCAGCGGCGCGCGAUGCGAUCCGGGUCGCGGCCGGCCGGGACGAAGGCCGCGAAGCUUGUCCGGUCGUACUCCGCCGGCCACUCCCUCGCCGUAGUCCGGCUCGACCGCGACCUGGAGCGGUUCACGCUGCGGCUGCCGGAGCACGUGCGCAGGGAGAUGAUCGCCGCUGCCGGGGAGCGGAGCUCGCAUCGUCGCGCACAGAGAGCCGGCAGAUGGCCAUCGUUCCUAAGGUACACCAGGACGUUGUCGGGAAGGUUCUUCUCGACGCCGAGGAGGACGGAAAGCUCCGGGGGAGGGGAGGCGUCCUCGUCAUCGUCGACGAGGAUUAGAGGGAAGCGCGUCGCCGCCGUCGAUUUCGUCGAAGGUUCUGCUGUGGGCGGCGGCGUGUCCGGUGCCAAGGUCGGCUCUGUGGCGGUCGAUGUGGACAAGGACAAGGCAGCUAGCCGGUAG
rnacentral:rRNA from 1 species